GAUGAAGAACGCAGCGAAAUGCGAUAAGUAAUGUGAAUUGCAGAAUUCAGUGAAUCAUCGAAUCUUUGAACGCACCUUGCGCCCUUUGGCUAUUCCAGAGGGCAUGCCUGUUUGAGUAUCAUGAACACCUCAACUCUCAUGGUUCUGCCAUGAUGAGCUUGGACUUUGGAGGUCUUGCUGGCCCCUGUGGUCAGCUCCUCUCAAAUGGAUCAGCUUGCCAGUGUUUGGUGGCAUCACAGGUGUGAUAACUAUCUACGCUUGUGGUUUUCCACCAGGUAACCUUCAGUGAUGGAGGUUCGCUGGAGCUCAUAAACGUCUCUCCUCAGCGAGGACAGCUUCUUGAACGUUUGAUCUCAAAUCAGGUAGGGCUACCCGCUGAACUUAAGCAUAUCAAUGAGCGGAGGA
rnacentral:misc_RNA from 1 species